GUGGAUGAACCGUGGCUGCCCGGCUAGAGCGUGAUUAACAGCGUCCCAGGUCAGGUUUCUGGCUCGUGGUGCAGUAGAUGAUCGUUCUUGGCUUGACUCCGGUCCAGUUAGGAUGAUUGGUACAUAAACUGGUGGCUUCGUGAAGCAUUCAUGAUCGCUCGUAGAUCAAGGAGACAGGUAACCACAUCUGGCCGAUGAACCAUGGCUGCCUUGCUAUAGCGUGAUUUAACAGCUCCUCAGGUUGGGUUUCCAGCUUGUUGUGCAGUAGAUGAUCGUCCAAGGCAGCUCUGACAAACAAACACAAUCUUUUUGUUUUUCAUCAUUUGUGAUUUCUGUAUUUAAUUCAGGUUUUCAUCAUUUCAUUAUCAUUGUAUAAGAGCUGUGACAUUUGAUGAGCACAUGGUCAAAUCUUCUAAAAUAGUAUUUGGCAUUAGAUUUAAGUGUUUGCCCCAGCUACUGAAUAUCCUUGAAAAUACUGUUCUUCUUUGAAGGAUAUGUAUGCCAUGUAUUUGACUCGAGGGUUAUCGACACCAAAAUACAUUAAAGGAAUCAAAAUGUGAACUAAAUUUUUCUAUCA